rnacentral:tRNA from 1 species
GGAGCCGUGCCUGAAUUAAAGGACUACUUUGAUAGAGUAUAAUAUGGGGGUUAAAAUCCUCCCUGCUCCU